CGCCGCACCGCCCUUUCCCCAACCGUGGCUUGCUCACGUGGGACGCCUACGGUCAAGCCAACAUGGGUAAUGGCGGGUAUUGACCCUCUGUCGACGCAAGCGGUAGCUCCAGCACUGAGGUGCCGCACAGGUGGCGCGGAGAUGGCCAACGAUGGGUAGCACAUAUGAUAGUGCGUCAAAUCUUCCUGAUUUCGUGGUGGUGCCAAUGGCAUAGCAGUAGGGUCGGCUGUAGUGACAGUCAAUGGCCGAAACCUACCCUGCCCUGCCCUCACUACCCACCCUCACACUCUUCCUCUUGCUCUCUUGGCCGGUAAAGGUUCGUGAGCUCUGCUUCUUCUCUACUGCGGUGGUAGAAUUGUAUUUUGGAGCUAUGGACUAGUUCGUUCCUCAUCUUUGCUUGUUCUCCAAAUCUAAUCUGUUGGUUGUGGCGAUGUGGAUGCGGUGCUGGUUGUUGGCCUGCUCGCUAUGAUCCUGCUGUUGUCCACCGCGACGCUCUCCCCGGCCGACAUCAAUUAUGAAGGUAUCUACUGUGCUCUCCUAAUCUUUUUCUCCAAAAUCUAUACAAAGUUCCAAUCUUUUCAAUUGUCUCCUCAUCAAUCCGGCACAAGAGUACUUUGUGAAAAUUAUUAAAAGACUCCCUUUUCUUUGCAAUCAUAGGUUUAAAGUUCAUGUAAAAGAUCACACUUUGGAUAAGAACACGAAAAUGCAGUUGUUGUGCUUGUGUUUCCUUACCAAGCAUCAUGCUUGUCGAGUUUUAGCUGUUUCCUGGUAUUACAAUUUGGAGCUUCCUUCUCGUCGUCAUCCUCCCCCCGACGUUGGGCUUCUCCCUCGAGCCUGAAGCCCCCAUCGCGACAAUGACUUCUCAUCCCUGCGCCCGAAGGCUUCGCUGCUACUCUGCCUCUCCCCUUCCCCGUCUCUCCCUUGCUCCUUCAUGUGUCUCGCGCCCGUGGCCCUCUCCACCUCCAACGCCAUCUGCGUCGAUCCAAACCCCGGCUCGCGACCUACCUCUGUGCCGCCGUCUCUUCCUUUGUGUGCUGCGCCAAAGCUCCCUCUCGGCACCGCUACUGCUUCCUCCGCAGCGUGCUCCCCCCAUCGCCCCUGUGUCCCCGAAUCGCGUGGCCGCAGCGUUGCCUUGCGCUACCACCAUCUGCACUUCCUCCUCACUGUCCGGUCAGCCACCCAUGCCUCGUCUCCCAGCGAAAGGGGAGAACUUGAUAAAAUCAUGUUUAAACCGACAGAGAUACAAGAUCUUGUGACCUCUGGUCUCUGUGAGCUGCCGCACAGGUCCCCUCCACUCCACCACCGCACACCCUUUCCCCAACCGUGGCUUUCCCACGCGGGAUGCCUACGGUCAAGCUGACGUGGGUAAUGGCGAGCAUCAACCCUUCGCCGGCGCAAGCGGCAGCUCCCGCACUGAGGUGCCGCACAGGUGGCGCGGAGAUGGUCAGUGAUGGGUAGCACAUAUGACAGGGUGGCAUAGCAGUAGGGUUGGUCACAGUGACAGUCGAUGGCCAAAACCUACCCUACCCUACCCCCACUACCCACCCCCACACUCUUCCUCUCACUCUUGACCAAUGGAGGUUCGUGAGCUCCGCUUCUUCUCUGCUGCAGAGGCGGAAUUGUGCUUUGGAGCUAUGGACUAGUCCGUUCCUCUUCUGUGCUUGUUCGCCGAAUCAAUCUGCUGGUUGUGGCGAUGUGGGUGAUGUGGAUGCGGUGCUGGUUGUUGGCCUGCUCGCCAUGAUCCUGCCAUCGUCUACCGCGACGCUCUCCCUGGCCGGCAUCAACUAUGAAGGUAUAUACUGUGCUCUCCUAAUCUUUUUCUCCAAAAUCUAUACAAAGGACCAAUCUUUUCAAUUGUCUCCUCAUCAAUCCGGCACAAGAGUACUUUGUGAAAAUUAUUAAAAGACUCCCUUUUCUUUGCAAUCGCAGGUUUAAAGUUCAUGUAAAAGAUCUCACUUUGGAUAAGAACACGAAAAUGCAGUUGAUGUGCUUGUGUUUCCUUACCAAUGGUGGCUCUGAUGGCCAUCAAGACGGAGCUGCAGGACCCCUACAACGUGCUCGACAACUGGGACAUCAACUUGGUCAAAUGGAACUCCAAUCGCAGCUAACUGUAAGCAUCC